rnacentral:rRNA from 1 species
UACGUAGGGUGCGAGCGUUAAUCGGAAUUACUGGGCGUAAAGCGUGCGCAGGCGGCUUCCCAAGCGCCACGUGAAAGCCCCGGGCUCAACCCGGGAGGGUCGUGGCAAACCGGCGGGCUUGAGGCCGGUAGAGGUGGGUGGAACUCCUGGUGGAGUGGUGAAAUGCGUAGAGACCCGGAGGAACACCAGUGGCGAAGGCGGCUUCCUGGUCUGCGACUGACGCUGUGGCGCGAAAGCUAGGGGAGCAAACGGG